rnacentral:misc_RNA from 1 species
AAAGCCAUCUUCUUAAGUUUGUUCAUCGCAGAGAAUUGUUUCAGGCGGGAUAAAACAGCGGAAUCAAGAGGCUUAUCUGGAGCAAUUCUGUCGUCAACAAUCCAUGGAUGGCAUAAUACUUCAUGAGCUGAUAGCCUUCUCCUUGGAUUCCGUUCAAGCAUUUUUCUUAUGAGAUCCUUGGCACUUUCUGAAAUGCUAGGCCAUGGUUCAGACUCAAAAUCUAUUUUUCCUUGUAAUAUCUGCCGGAAGAUCCCCAUUUCAGUUUCUGCCCAAAAUGGUGGCACUCCAGAUAAUAAGAUAUACAAAAUAAUUCC